rnacentral:rRNA from 1 species
UACGUGAGGUGCAAGCGUUAAUCGGAAUUACUGGGCGUAAAGUGUGCGCAGGUGGCCGCGCAUGUCGAGUGUGAAAUCCCCGGGCUUAACUUGGGAAUUGCGCUCGAAACUACGUGGCUCGAGUGUGGCAGAGGAAGGUGGAAUUCCACGUGUAGCGGUGAAAUGCGUAGAGAAUGUGGAGGAACACCGGUGGCGAAGGCGGCGACCUGGGUCGAUACUGACGCUGAGGUGCGAAAGCGUGGGGAGCAAACAGG